rnacentral:rRNA from 1 species
UACGUAGGGAGCAAGCGUUGUCCGGAAUCAUUGGGCGUAAAGAGCGCGUAGGUGGCUGCAUAAGUCCGUUGUGAAAGUCAAAGGUUCAACCUUUGAAAGCCGAUGGAUACUGUGGAGCUAGAGUACGGAAGAGGCGAGUGGAAUUCCUGGUGUAGCGGUGGAAUGCGCAGAUAUCAGGAGGAACACCAAUAGCGAAGGCAGCUCGCUGGGACGUUACUGACACUGAGGCGCGAAAGCGUGGGGAGCGAACAGG